AUCCAUCUGACAAGUCCGAAAUAGGACGAAACGCGCGUCCUGGAU
rnacentral:hammerhead_ribozyme from 1 species